UACGUAGGGCGCAAGCGUUGUCCGGAAUUACUGGGCGUAAAGCGUGCGCAGGCGGUUUUGUAAGCCAGAUGUGAAAUCCCCGGGCUUAACCUGGGAACUGCAUUUGGGACUGCAAGGCUUGAGUGCGGCAGAGGAGACUGGAAUUCCUGGUGUAGCAGUGAAAUGCGUAGAUAUCAGGAGGAAUACCGAUGGCGAAGGCAGGUCUCUGGGCUGACACUGACGCUCAUGCACGAAAGCGUGGGGAGCAAACAGG
rnacentral:rRNA from 1 species